AAAGAGAAGAAGAUGGGAGUCAACCUUUUCGUUUUUUUAUAUUCUUUUUUUGUAUUAAGUUCUUGUAAAAAAAUACAAAAGGGAAAUCCGGCUUUUUAUAGCCGAUUUGCUUCUAUUUUCAUGCUAUUUUUGUAUUAUUUUGCUGCUUGCGUGUAUCUUUCUCCUGUAGGUGAUUGAUGGAUAUCGGUUAAUGUGACAGCGACGGUGGCAGGCUCGCGACAGUGGCGGUGGCGGCAGGUUAAGGGUCAAAAGACCCUAGGUGCGGCGCACCUAGGGUUAGGGUUUCUCUUUUUUUUUAGGCCAUUUAGGCUGUGUACUGUAGUUGGACCCGUAAUGGGUUUUAGGCUUAAGUUUGGGUUUGUAAUGGACUGUUUAUUAUUUGGUUUAUUUUCUGGUAUGGGCCCGGGCAAAAAUGGGCUUGUACAGGUUUUUCUUCCUUCUGUUCUACAUUCAGAUUCUUCUUCUUAAACCCAAACAUUCUCUCAUUCUUCAUUAAGUUAGAAGCUAAGGUUUCUGGGAUAAUCAGUGAAUGUUUUUAUCUCCUAGUAAGUCUAAUGGCUCUGUAUGUUAUAAUUUCAAAAGAGUCAGGAUGUAAAAGACAUAAAUACAGUAGGGAGUGAAUAUGAAGCCUUACAUGAGGGGUUGUAUGUAAUGGAUAUAUUGGUAAACUAUCUAUAAACGGGGUUCUAAUGGUAAUCUCAUGUUCUUUUAA
rnacentral:lncRNA from 1 species